rnacentral:rRNA from 1 species
GGGGUGCUCGAGUGGCGAACGGGUGAGUAACACGUGAGUAACCUGCCCUUGACUUUGGGAUAACUUCAGGAAACUGGGGCUAAUACCGGAUAGGAGCUCCUGCUGCAUGGUGGGGGUUGGAAAGUUUCGGCGGUUGGGGAUGGACUCGCGGCUUAUCAGCUUGUUGGUGGGGUAGUGGCUUACCAAGGCUUUGACGGGUAGCCGGCCUGAGAGGGUGACCGGCCACAUCGGGACUGAGAUACGGCCCAG